AUUGAACGCUGGCGGCAUGCUUUACACAUGCAAGUCGAACGGUAACAGGCCUUCGGGUGCUGACGAGUGGCGAACGGGUGAGUAAUGCAUCGGAACGUACCCAGAGGUGGGGGAUAACGCAGCGAAAGCUGUGCUAAUACCGCAUGUGAUCUGAGGAUGAAAGCGGGGGACCGAGCAGCAAUGUUUGGCCUCGCGCCUUUGGAGCGGCCGAUGUCGGAUUAGCUAGUUGGUGGGGUAAAGGCCUACCAAGGCGACGAUCCGUAGCUGGUCUGAGAGGACGACCAGCCACACUGGGACUGAGACACGGCCCAGACUCCUACGGGAGGCAGCAGUGGGGAAUUUUGGACAAAGGGCGCAAGCCUGAUCCAGCAAUGCCGCGUGCGGGAAGAAGGCCUUCGGGUUGUAAACCGCUUUUGGCAGGAACGAAACGGUGUCCGCUAAUACCGGGCGCUAAUGACGGUACCUGCAGAAUAAGCACCGGCUUACUACGUG
rnacentral:rRNA from 1 species